AACCCUGCCUUUAGUUGCCAGCAGUUCGGCUGGGCGACUCUAAAGGGACUGCCGGUGUUAAACCGGAGGAAGGUGGGGAUGACGUCAAGUCCUCAUGGCCUUUAUGACCAGGGCUACACACGUACUACAAUGGCCGAUACAAAGGGCAGCGACACUGCGAGGUGAAGCCAAUCCCGUAAAAUCGGCCUCAGUCCGGAUUGGAGUCUGCAACUCGACUCCAUGAAGUUGGAAUCGCUAGUAAUCGUGGAUCAGCAUGCCACGGUGAAUACGUUCCCGGGCCUU
rnacentral:rRNA from 1 species